rnacentral:misc_RNA from 1 species
GAUGAAGAACGUAACGAAAUGCGAUAAGUAAUGUGAAUUGCAGAAUUCAGUGAAUCAUCGAAUCUUUGAACGCACAUUGCGCCCCCUGGUAUUCCGGGGGGCAUGCCUGUUCGAGCGUCAUUACAACCCUCAAGCUCUGCUUGGUGUUGGGCCCCGCCGCCCCGGCGGGCCCUAAAAUCAGUGGCGGUGCCGUCCGGCUCCGAGCGUAGUAAUUCUUCUCGCUCUGGAGGUCCGGGUGUGUGCUCGCCAGCAACCCCCAAUUUUUUUCAGGUUGACCUCGGAUCAGGUAGGGAUACCCGCUGAACUUAAGCAUAUCAAUAAGCGGAGGA